rnacentral:rRNA from 1 species
AAAUUGAAGAGUUUGAUCAUGGCUCAGAUUGAACGCUGGCGGCAGGCCUAACACAUGCAAGUCGAACGGUAACAGGAAGAAGCUUGCUUCUUUGCUGACGAGUGGCGGACGGGUGAGUAAUGUCUGGGAAACUGCCUGAUGGAGGGGGAUAACUACUGGAAACGGUAGCUAAUACCGCAUAACGUCGCAAGACCAAAGAGGGGGACCUUCGGGCCUCUUGCCAUCGGAUGUGCCCAGAUGGGAUUAGCUAGUAGGUGGGGUAACGGCUCACCUAGGCGACGAUCCCUAGCUGGUCUGAGAGGAUGACCAGUCACACUGGAACUGAGACACGGUCCAGACUCCUACGGGAGGCAGCAGUGGGGAAUAUUGCACAAUGGGCGCAAGCCUGAUGCAGCCAUGCCGCGUGUAUGAAGAAGGCCUUCGGGUUGUAAAGUACUUUCAGCGGGGAGGAAGGGAGUAAAGUUAAUACCUUUGCUCAUUGACGUUACCCGCAGAAGAAGCACCGGCUAACUCCGUGCCAGCAGCCGCGGUAAUACGGAGGGUGCAAGCGUUAAUCGGAAUUACUGGGCGUAAAGCGCACGCAGGCGGUUUGUUAAGUCAGAUGUGAAAUCCCCGGGCUCAACCUGGGAACUGCAUCUGAUACUGGCAAGCUUGAGUCUCGUAGAGGGGGGUAGAAUUCCAGGUGUAGCGGUGAAAUGCGUAGAGAUCUGGAGGAAUACCGGUGGCGAAGGCGGCCCCCUGGACGAAGACUGACGCUCAGGUGCGAAAGCGUGGGGAGCAAACAGGAUUAGAUACCCUGGUAGUCCACGCCGUAAACGAUGUCGACUUGGAGGUUGUGCCCUUGAGGCGUGGCUUCCGGAGCUAACGCGUUAAGUCGACCGCCUGGGGAGUACGGCCGCAAGGUUAAAACUCAAAUGAAUUGACGGGGGCCCGCACAAGCGGUGGAGCAUGUGGUUUAAUUCGAUGCAACGCGAAGAACCUUACCUGGUCUUGACAUCCACGGAAGUUUUCAGAGAUGAGAAUGUGCCUUCGGGAACCGUGAGACAGGUGCUGCAUGGCUGUCGUCAGCUCGUGUUGUGAAAUGUUGGGUUAAGUCCCGCAACGAGCGCAACCCUUAUCCUUUGUUGCCAGCGGUCCGGCCGGGAACUCAAAGGAGACUGCCAGUGAUAAACUGGAGGAAGGUGGGGAUGACGUCAAGUCAUCAUGGCCCUUACGACCAGGGCUACACACGUGCUACAAUGGCGCAUACAAAGAGAAGCGACCUCGCGAGAGCAAGCGGACCUCAUAAAGUGCGUCGUAGUCCGGAUUGGAGUCUGCAACUCGACUCCAUGAAGUCGGAAUCGCUAGUAAUCGUGGAUCAGAAUGCCACGGUGAAUACGUUCCCGGGCCUUGUACACACCGCCCGUCACACCAUGGGAGUGGGUUGCAAAAGAAGUAGGUAGCUUAACCUUCGGGAGGGCGCUUACCACUUUGUGAUUCAUGACUGGGGUGAAGUCGUAACAAGGUAACCGUAGGGGAACCUGCGGUUGGAUCACCUCCUUA